rnacentral:rRNA from 1 species
UACGGGGGGGGCAAGCGUUGUUCGGAAUUACUGGGCGUAAAGGGCGCGUAGGCGGUUGGAUAAGUCAGCUGUGAAAACCACGGGCUUAACUCGUGGCCUGCAGUUGAGACUGUCUGGCUUGAGUGUGGGAGAGGAGAGUGGAAUUCCUGGUGUAGCGGUGAAAUGCGUAGAUAUCUGGAGGAACACCGGUGGCGAAGGCGGCGUUCGUGGACUGCAACUGACACUGAGGAACGAAAGCCAGGGGAGCAAACGGG